CUGCACCCUUCCAUGAGCAAUUCCUUGGCUUCUCCUGGAGAAAACCCCACGGCAGAGGCAGUCUGCAAAGGAGCCAAAAUCAAGAGCAAAGAUGCUGGGAUUGCCUCUGUGGACAUGUGCUGAGCUCUCCCUGCAGGGAACUGUCAGCCCUGAAUGCCUGUGCAAUAACUCAGAGCCUCAGCCAUGAAGGGCCAGGCUGUGUUUAAAACAGCCCAAGGUGCCAGAGAGCUGGAGUAAUUUCCUAGCAGGUAACUUGACUUGGAAGCUGCAUUCUAAAAUUUGUCCACAUUUAAUUUAUGUCCCACAUGGAGACACCUAAAGAAGCAGAGGUGGGGUGUUCCUAAGAAAAGAACAUCUAAAUUCUUUGGUGGUAGAGGGCUUAAAGUCUGAGUGGAGGUGCCUUUAGGACACUUCUAUUCCAGUAUCUGAAUGGAAUUUAAAUGAAGUAUCCAAAUCCUGACAAGCUUGUAUGAACUCCAAAGCCUCUGCAAGUGUUUCACAGCCAGGGAAGGAGAUAAGAGUCUGAAGUCUCUCCCCAAAACCUGGCUGCUGGUUUGUUUGGCCAGGCAUAGGAAUAAUUGCAUAUUCCCUGGGGCUGUCCUUAUGGGGAGAGGUUUACUUAUGUGCCCUGGGUUUAUUCAGUGCAUCUUCAAAGUGAUGGAAACUGAUUGCAUUGAAAUGCUAGGGGUGCCAAAUGUUUUCCCCAGCCAGAGCUCGGAGCCAGCCCAGUGGGAAGGGGUUUAGUGGCCAUUUUCCCACUCCCUCAGGGCAGCAGCACUGCAGCACUCGCACCCAACCGUGCCCGAGGUGCCAAGUACUGGCAGGAGGCAAAGCCAGGGACUGGGCAGUAGGAGCUUGCACUGCUCCUGGAAGCGCAGACCUGGAGCUGUGGGUUAGACCUCCCAGGAGCUGCUGCCUCACUCAAACCUUGUUUAAAGCUCAGCAUCCCUCCUGCUCCCUUGGAAUGAUUGUUGCUUCUGUUGUUGCUCUUUCCCCAAUACAUUAUGAUUAUUAUUGUAAA